rnacentral:rRNA from 1 species
GACAGAGGGUGCAAACGUUGUUCGGAAUUACUGGGCGUAAAGGGCGCGUAGGCGGCCUUCUAAGUCGAACGUGAAAUCCCCGGGCUCAACCCGGGAACUGCGUCCGAGACUGGAAGGCUUGAAUCCGGGAGAGGGAUGUGGAAUUCCAGGUGUAGCGGUGAAAUGCGUAGAUAUCUGGAGGAACAUCGGUGGCGAAGGCGGCAUCCUGGACCGGUAUUGACGCUGAGGCGCGAAAGCCAGGGGAGCAAACGGG